AUGUUGUCGAAGCAUAGUAGUAUCCUGAGUAGCGCGGAGCACGAGGAAUUCUGCGUGAAUCGGCCGGGACCAUCCGGUAAGGCUAAAUACUCCCGAGAGACCGAUAGUGAACCAGUACCGUGAGGGAAAGGUGAAAAGCACUUCGAACAGAAGAGUGAAAUAGUUCCUGAAACCGUGCGCCUACAAGCGGUCGGAGCAGCGUAAGCUGUGACGGCGUGCCUUUUGCAUAAUGAACCUACGAGUUACCGUUGCCGGCAAGGUUAAGGGUCAUGAGACCUGUAGCCGAAGCGAAAGCGAGUCUGAACAGGGCGUAUAGUCGGUAGUGGUAGACGCGAAACCAAGUGAUCUACCCUUGAGCAGGUUGAAGUCCGGGUAACACCGGAUGGAGGACCGAACCAAUAAGCGUUGAAAAGCUUCUGGAUGACUUGAGGGUAGGGGUGAAAGGCUAAUCAAACUUGGAGAUAGCUCGUACUCCCCGAAAUGCAUUUAGGUGCAGCCUUGACCAUUACUAAUGUGAGGUAGAGCGACUGAUAAGAUGCGAGGGCUUCACCGCCUAUCAAGUCUUGAUAAACUCCGAAUGCGCAUUAGUUUGAGGUCAGGAGUGAGGGCAUGGGUGCUAAGGUCCGUGCCCGAGAGGAGAAGAAUCCGGACCACCUGCUAAGGUCCCGAAAUAACAGCUAAGUUAAACUAACGAAGUCAGAUUGCUAAGACAGCUAGGAUGUUGGCUUGGAAGCAGCCAUUCAUUUAAAGAGUGCGUAACAGCUCACUAGUCGAGGAGUUUGGCGUGGAUAAUAAUCGGGUAUUAAGCUGUUUACCGAAGCAGUGGGAUCAUAUAAUGAUCGGUAGGGGAGCAUUCCACUCUGCGUCGAAGGUGGGGCGUGAGCCCUGCUGGAGCGUGUGGAAAAGCAAAUGUAGGUAUAAGUAACGAUAAAGGGGGUGAGAAACCCCCUCGCCGCAAGACUCAGGUUUCCUGAUCAACGCUAAUCGGAUCAGGGUCAGUCGGGUCCUAAGGCUCAGCCGAACGGCGAGGCCGAUGGCAGAACCGGUUAAUAUUCCGGUACUACCCUUUGGGGUGACGUGGAGACGCAGUCGUGACAAUGCCGCCAGCUGACGGAAUAGCUGGUUAAAGGGUGUAGAAGUUGAUUGUGGCAGGCAAAUCCACCACAAGAUUCGAACCUGACAGUAUGGAGCGUCCUUCCGGACAAUCCAACAGUGCAUGUAAUCAUACUGCCAAGAAAAUCCGCUAAACAUAACCUUCAGGGUACCCGUACCGCAAACGGACACACGUAGUCGGGUUGAAUAUACUAAGGCGCUUGAGUGAUUCACGGUUAAGGAACUAGGCAAAUUAACCCUGUAACUUCGGGAAAAAGGGUCCCUACCCGUUAUCGGGAGGGCGCAGAGAAUCGGUCCAGGCAACUGUUUAACAAAAACACAGGGCUGUGCGAAGUCGAAAGACGCUGUAUACAGCCUGACACCUGCCCGGUGCUGGAAGGUUAAGAGGAGAUGUCAUCGCAAGAGAAGCAUUGAAUUGAAGCCCCAGUAAACGGCGGCCGUAACUAUAACGGUCCUAAGGUAGCGAAAUUCCUUGUCGGGUAAGUUCCGACCUGCACGAAUGGUGUAAUGAUCUGGACACUGUCUCAACCGUGAGCUCAGUGAAAUUGUAGUAUCGGUGAAGAUGCCGAUUACCCGCGAUGGGACGAAAAGACCCCGUGAACCUUUACUAUAGCUUAUCAUUGAAUUUGGGCACGUGAUGUGUAGGAUAGGUCGGAGGCUUUGAAGCAGGCACGCCAGUGUUUGUGGAGCCGCUGUUGAAAUACGACCCUUCAUUUGUUUGAGUUCUAACUCGUAAUACGAGGACACUGAUUGGUGGGUAGUUUGACUGGGGUGGUCGCCUCCAAAAGUGUAACGGAGGCUUCUAAAGGUGCCCUCAGACCGAUUGGUAACCGGUCUCAGAGUGUAAUGGCAUAAGGGCGCUUGACUGGGAGA
rnacentral:rRNA from 1 species